CACGUAGGCGGUUUGGAAAGUCAGAUGUGAAAUUUCGGUGCUCAACACCGAAGCUGCAUAUGAAACUAUCAGACUUGAGUAUAGGCGGAGGAAACAGAAUUCCAUGUGUAGCGGUGAAAUGUGUAGAUAUAUGGAAGAAUACCGGUGGCGAAGGCGGUUUUCUAGCUUAUUACUGACGCUGAGGUGCGAAAGCGGGGGGAUCAAACA
rnacentral:rRNA from 1 species